ensembl:snRNA U6 U6 spliceosomal RNA
GUGUUCCCUUCAGCAGCACAUAUACAAAAAUUAUAACAAUACAGAGAUUAAUGUGGCCCCUGUGCAAGGAUAACAUGCACAUUUGUGAAAUAUUCCAUAUGUGU